GGGAUUGUGGCUCAGUGGUAGAGCACUUGCCUAGUGUGUAUGAGGCACCAGGUUUGAUCCUCAGUACCA
rnacentral:tRNA from 1 species